rnacentral:rRNA from 1 species
UACAGAGGGUGCGAGCGUUGUUCGGAAUUAUUGGGCGUAAAGGGCGCGUAGGCGGUGCGGUAAGUCACCUGUGAAAUCUCCUGGCUCAACUGGGAGCUUGCAGGCGAAACUGCCGUGCUGGAGUGUGGGAGAGGUGCGUGGAAUUCCUGGUGUAGCGGUGAAAUGCGUAGAUAUCAGGAGGAACACCGGUGGCGAAGGCGGGUCUCUGGGCCGUAACUGACGCUGAGGAGCGAAAGCGUGGGGAGCGAACAGG